GUGUCAGCCGCCGCGGUAAUACGAAAGGGGCUAGCGUUGUUCGGAAUUACUGGGCGUAAAGCGCGCGUAGGCGGAUUGGAAAGUUGGGGGUGAAAUCCCGGGGCUCAACCCCGGAACUGCCUCCAAAACUUCCAGUCUGGAGUUCGAGAGAGGUGAGUGGAAUUCCGAGUGUAGAGGUGAAAUUCGUAGAUAUUCGGAGGAACACCAGUGGCGAAGGCGGCUCACUGGCUCGAUACUGACGCUGAGGUGCGAAAGUGUGGGGAGCAAACAGGAUUAGAUACCCUGGUAGUCCACACCGUAAACGAUGAAUGCCAGUCGUCGGCAAGCAUGCUUGUCGGUGACACACCUAACGGAUUAAGCAUUCCGCCUGGGGAGUACGGCCGCAAGGUUAAAACUCAAAUGAAUUGGCGGGG
rnacentral:rRNA from 1 species